rnacentral:rRNA from 1 species
AACGAACGCUGGCGGCAUGCCUAACACAUGCAAGUCGAACGAGACCUUCGGGUCUAGUGGCGCACGGGUGCGUAACGCGUGGGAACCUGCCUUUAGGUUCGGAAUAACUCAGAGAAAUUUGAGCUAAUACCGGAUGAUGUCUUCGGACCAAAGAUUUAUCGCCUUUAGAUGGGCCCGCGUUGGAUUAGCUAGUUGGUGGUGUAAAGGCCUACCAAGGCGACGAUCCAUAGCUGGUCUGAGAGGAUGAUCAGCCACACUGGGACUGAGACACGGCCCAGACUCCUACGGGAGGCAGCAGUGUGUAAUAUUGGACAAUGGGCGAAAGCCUGAACCAGCAAUGCCGCGUGAGUGAUGAAGGCCUUAGGGUUGUAAAGCUCUUUUAACCGAGAUGAUAAUGACAGUAUCGGGAGAAUAAGCUCCGGCUAACUCCGUG